GUUUGCGGGCAAGAUGUACUGGAAGACGCUGCCUUGGGCCCACACUCCGCAAAGUUUGACCCCGUUAAUGCACAGACUGUCCCAACUGCAGGCCCCAACUUCUAAUUCAAUAUCAAUGUUGCUAAAAUUAAUUUAAAAAGAGCAAAUCAAUUUUGAGGAUCGGAGGGAUGGUAGGGAGAAGUUUUCCGUGCUUCCUUUUUCAAAAACUGUGUAGAAACAAAAAUUCAUGUCUGACUUGAGUCUCCACAAGGAAAGGCCGAGUUCUUAGCCAGUGAGAUAUCAAGGUGUCACAUACAAAGACCGCAUUACAAAUGAAGAGAUUAGAAACAGGAUUAAUACAGCAAUUACAAAAGGACCUGCUAACCACUGUCAAAGAACGUAAAAUCAAACCUUAUGAAGACACACAUGGUCUUCAGGGCUCGCAAAGUUCAUCCUUCAGGGAACAGUACCAGGAAGAAGAUGAAAAGGAAGACAGAGAAAGCGAUGGGAAGACAACAUCAAAUAAUGGGCUGGCCUUUCAGUGAAUGAAAUUCUAUCAAAGGCAAAGGACAGAGUAAAAUGGAGAAAGACGGUUGACAAAUCUUAUGUGGUGCCCCAACGGUCCAACAGACUUAGGGAUAGGUGAAGGUGAAGUUAAAUGUGAACCUAGACUAACUGAUGUUAUUGAAUAAAAUAAGAUACGAUAAUUUUA